ACGAGUACGAUUAGUGGCCAAUAACUUCUCAUAUACAUUUAGUCGAUCUUUAUAGGGAUGAGUAUUUUGGAGAUUUUCAUAUUCGUGUAUAUACCGCCACGAUCACAUUUAAAUAAAACAUUAAAAUCACUUUUAGAGUUUUUUUUUUAAUGUUGAUAACAUAACCAAAAGAUCGCCCUGCUUGUUGCACCCAAUCUAUUAAGUCUUUAUGACAAUUGAACACUUGAAAACGAUAUAAUGAUCAACAACUAGCAAUAUUCUAGAUGACAACCUUACUACAAAUAUAUAUUAAUGAACUUAAAUUUUUCCCAUGUUGGUUUGAAUACUUGAGUCAUUGAUGAAGUAACUACUUUUUUUUUCUCGUUUUCAUUUCCGUCGCCUUUAUAUACGUUUGCAUCAUCAUUAUCCGUCUACACAAAACACACGUUAGUAAUUACAACUUGCAAAAACAAUUUUAAAAACAAAAACGCUUACAUAAAAAUACCUCAUAAUUCGUUUGAUCGUUGAAUUGAAAAUACUCUUCACAGCCUUCAUAUGUGUUUGUAUGAAGAUUAUUCGUCUAUACGAAACACACACUACAAGUUACAACUGAUAAAAAAAUAAAAUAAAAAAUAAAAUAAAAAAUAAAACACUUAUACAAAAGUACCCGAUAGUUCAUUUGAUCGUUGAAGUGAAAAUACUUUUCACAACCUUCAUAUACGUUUCUAUGAACAUUAUGCAUCUACACGAAACACAUUGUACAUGUUACAACUUACAAAAAAAAAAAUAAAUAAAUAAAUAACAGUUGUAUAAACAUACCUCAUAUUCGGUUGAUCAUUGAAUUGGAAAUACCCUUUCCAACCCGCCAUUACGUAAAUGAUAAAAAAAACCUUGUGUUUAUAACUUAUUUUUUUGAUGAAAACUUCUACUUAUAGCAAGUAUUUUUAAUAUAUGAAAAUGGAGAAAAAAACAUAGUAUAGAAAAAUAAAAACGUGGAUAAUGGGAUCAUUUAGAAGAUAAGAAUAUAUCUUCUGAUCUUCAGUUCCUCCAUUCUUCCACUUGCUUGUUGCCGAAUAUCAGUUGUUCAUUGUUUCUUUUUUAUUUCUUAUUUGCUUGUCUAUGACUUGAAAGAGCAAAUGUCAA
rnacentral:lncRNA from 1 species